ACAAGGCAUUUGAAAUGUAAAGAUUUAUGUA
rnacentral:piRNA from 1 species